rnacentral:rRNA from 1 species
CCUACGGGCGGCAGCAGUGAGGAAUAUUGGUCAAUGGACGAGAGUCUGAACCAGCCAAGUAGCGUGAAGGAUGACUGCCCUAUGUGUUGUAAACUUCUUUUAUAUGGGAAUAAAAUGUUCCACGUGUGGGAUUUUGUAUGUACCUUAUGAAUAAGGAUCGGCUAACUCCGUGCCAGCAGCCGCGGUAAUACGGAGGAUCCGAACGUUAUCCGGAUUUAUUGGGUUUAAAGGGAGCGGAGGGGGGCUGUUUAGUCAGGUGUGAAAGGUUGGGGGUCAACCGUAGAAGUGCAGUUGAAACUGGCAGUCUUGAGUUGAGGAGAGGUGCGCGGAAUGCGGGGUGUAGCGGUGAAAUGCUUAGAUAUCGCGCAGAACUCCGAUUGCGAAGGCAGUUCACUGGAC